GAUGAACGCUGGCGGCGUGCCUAAUACAUGCAAGUCGAGCGGACGGACGAGAAGCUUGCUUCUCUGAUGUUAGCGGCGGACGGGUGAGUCACACGUGUAUAACCUACCUAUAAGACUGGGAUAUCUUCGGGAAAGGGGAGCUUAUACCGGAUGAUCUUUUGAACCGCAUGGUUCAAUAGUGAAAGACGGUCUUGCUGUCACUUAUAGAUGGAUCCGCGCUGCAUUAGCUAGUUGGUAAGGUCACGGCUUACCAAGGCGACGAUGCAUAACCGACCUGUGAGGGUGAUCGGCCACACUGGAACUGAGACACGGUCCAGGCGCCUACGGGAGGCACCAGUAGCGAAUCGUCCGCAGUGGGCGGAAGCCUGGCGGAGCAACGCCGCGUGAGUGAUGAAGAUCCUGGGAUCGUAAAGCUCUGUUAUUAGGGAAGAACAGAUGUGUAAGUAGCUGAGCAGAGCGUGACGGUACCUGAUCAGAAAGCAACGGCUAACUACGUG
rnacentral:rRNA from 1 species